rnacentral:piRNA from 1 species
UCCAUGUGAACUAUAUAGCCCGUCUG